UACGUAGGGGGCAAGCGUUGUCCGGAAUCAUUGGGCGUAAAGAGCGUGUAGGCGGCCCGAUAAGUCCGCUGUGAAAGUCCAGGGCUCAACCCUGGGAUGCCGGUGGAUACUGUCGGGCUCGAGUCCGGAAGAGGAGUGUGGAAUUCCGUGGUGUAGCGGUGAAAUGCGCAGAUAUCGAGAGGAACACCUGCGGCGAAGGCGGGUUGCUGGGCUGACACUGACGCUGAUGCGCGAAAGCUAGGGGAGCGAACGGG
rnacentral:rRNA from 1 species